CAGCAGCCGCGGGAAUACGGAGGGAGCUAGCGUUAUUCGGAAUUACUGGGCGUAAAGCGCACGUAGGCGGCUUUGUAAGUUAGAGGUGAAAGCCUGGAGCUCAACUCCAGAAUUGCCUUUAAGACUGCAUCGCUUGAAUCCAGGAGAGGUGAGUGGAAUUCCGAGUGUAGAGGUGAAAUUCGUAGAUAUUCGGAAGAACGCCAGUGGCGAAGGCGGCUCACUGGACUGGUAUUGACGCUGAGGUGCGAAAGCGUGGGGAGCAAACAGGAUUAGAGACCCCGGUAGUCCCUGUCUCUUAUAC
rnacentral:rRNA from 1 species